CUGGGAAAGGGUUUGUGCUGAUCCAGACUAAGGAAGUGUCCAUGCGCCCGAGGACGUCAGCAGAGUGUUCCAGAACGAUGCAGAGGGACUCCUCGAGUGGAUCGCCAACGGCCCAGUGACAGCUCUGGAGUUGAAUGGAGACGGGUAGUGGAGGCCUGCAAGAGCAUGGCCAGUGACAUGUUCAGUGGAACCAAGGUGUUUGUUUCAGACAACAGAAAUACUUCCUCUCGAGAUGUGGACAACUUCUUCAACUUUGCUGACAUGCAGAUGGGCUUGUGAUUGAGUCACUGUAUGACAAUCAACUUACUACACAACCAAGGAUUUUUUUUGUUAUAUUUUUUAUACUAGUAGGUAGCGGAGAAGGACAGGUUAUUCAACAUAGUGAUGGUAGGUAGCGGAGAAGGACAGGUUAUUCAACAUAGUGAUGGUAGGUAGUGGAGAAGGACAGGUUAAUCAACAUAGUGAUGGUAGGUAGCGGAGAAGGACAGGUUAUUCAACAUAGUGAUGGUAGGUAGUGGAGAAGGACAGGUUAUUCAACAUAGUGAUGGUAGGUAGCGGAGAAGGACAGGUUAUUCAACAUAGUGAUUGUAGGUAGUGGAGAAGGACAGGUUAUUCAACAUAGUGAUGGUAGGUAGCGGAGAAGGACAGGUUAUUCAAUAUAGUGAUU